GGUGGCCCUGGCUGGGGACCCAGGCUGGACACACACAAACACGGCCGAGACGUGGCUUGUGGUGCGGGAAGCUGGCAAGUCCCCCGGAGCUCUCCCAGGGUCAUUCCACCCGAGCUCCAGGCCAUUGCUCACGAUGUUACGGUACAUCUCGGGAACAUGUUUGCUCCCCAAGCCCCGGUCCCUGGACCCGUGCAAAGAGGGGAAUUUCAAAGGGUUGGGCUUUUGGGGUUGUUUUCUUUAUUUCUACCUCAGGUCCAGGUUUCUGGGCACGGGCGCAGCCUGAACCCGCUUGGUCCAAGCCCAGCGAGAAGGUAGGAACAACGAGAGCAACUUGAUUUGGAAGGAUCUCAGGCAUGAUGUCUGAGCUGGGAAACCAUCACCAAUUCCUCAAGCUGGAAAAAAUACAGGCAAAAAAUGGAGGAAAAAAAAGCUUUACAUCUCCCGCAAAGGCGUGAGCAGCCAUCAGCGUUUCUGGGCUCGGCAUCCAAACCGAAACGAACUGAGCAAUCGCACAUGUUCUUCCUUGGCGGAGCCAAAAGCUGUUCCUGUCAUGCUAUAUAUUUGCUCUCUGAUUAAUGUAAGAUACAUUUUUUUUCGGGGAAUAGAAUCGGAGAAACCGACAGCAGCAUGUUAAGUAUUUGGCAAACAAUUCCUUUGAUGUUGCGCGUAGGUAGCGCUCGAUAUAUUUGUGAGCUAUAUAUAGCUAAAUACAUAUAUAUCUCGCCCCACAUAAUGUUUCCACUCUUCUGCAGACUACCUGCAAAACACAGACAGUAUCAGAAGCUGUAAAUACAGUUAUUACACCACCGGCUGACAGCCAAUUCUCUAAAGCUUUUUGAUGCAAAACAUUUUUGUGUUUUCCAGGGAAAGACAACGAGAUUUUGGUCCUGUCUUGCCCAUCCUGCAGGCAGGGUUGUGGUCCACGCAUUUUGGGGUAGCGAUGCUCCCAGAAGAAUAAGGUGUCCUGGAGCUAUAGGUGUGUGUUGGAAAAGCAAAUAUCUAAGCUGCCCUGGAAAAAAAGCUGUUCCUGACUCUCCCCUGUGGAUGGGGAUUCGCUGCACAUGAACUGGGGGGAUGCGGUGGGAGAAAGCCUGGGAGUGGGAUGGCAAAUGGCAGUGGCACUGUCACCUUUCAUUAAUUAAUGCUAUUUUGUGUGAUGGCCCCAGAGCCCCGGGGAGGGUGCUGGAGCAGUACACGGAGCAGCUGCACAUAACCCCGGGUGGCUUUAUGAAGGAUCACAGCUCCUCUCCUGGGAGCAGCCCACGGUGGGGCAUAUGAGUGUGCAGCUGCAGGUGUGUGCAGCAGGGGGUAAAUGAGAGUCUCGAAAUGGUGUUAAAUGCACACACCAAGGGCCGGCUCCUGCAUCUAUCACCUACUCGUAACUCCCUUCUGAAUUAAGAUCAGCUUGACCUGAGCAAGGAGUGCAGAUGCAGACCCUAAAUCCUGCUGCCGCAGAAACUUAGAGGAUGAAAUACAGUCAACCGAAAGCCCUGUACAUUUUCUCCCAUCUUUCAAGCCAUAAUUGCCACUGACAGUCCUUAUAUCCGUGGUUAGCCUGCGCUCAGGCUCGGUUAGUGUGCGUUAUCCAUUGCUGUUUCGCACGCCGGAGCAAGAGCUGGAGUCGGAGCCUGGGGGCUGGUUACCAGCAUACGGGCUGCUCUCAGCCUUUCCAGCAAACAUAAUUUUUUCCCCAUCUCCAAGGAACAAAGUGGAGACAAAAGAUUAAUCUUCCACGGACUGUAAAAUCCUUGGGGCGAGGAGCGUGGCGUCGGUUCAGCGUUGUUGGCAGACUUUCUGCUGGCUCCGACGGGCUCUGGAGCGGCUCCGGCCGUCCCACUCCCCUCGCCCCCAGCCCAGGAGCACGGCAGUGCAAAUCCACAGCUUUCGGGAGAAUUAUUCCCAAUUUCCUUUUGUAGAAACAAGAUCAAAAUCAAAACCGGCUGUCGACUUCCACGCCUCGUGUGGCGCUGCGUCAGCACUAGCAGGACCCUGCUCUCCCUCCCGCACCUCAGCCAUGCCUAAAAAACCUCCUCAGAAGCUUGGGAUGUGUUAAACCCACUCCUUCCUUCUUUUUAUGACCCUCUUAAGCUUGUCUACCUCCAAAAUUUAUUACCAGGGGGAAGCCAAGAUAAAUAAGGAGGUUUGCCUUUCGUUUCAGGGCUGACGUGCUGCAGAAGGGAAUCCCCCAAACCAGGGGGGCUGCCAGGGAUAGAGCCCCAGUCCCCCCCAGCCCGGCUUGCUCCAGUGGCCACGGGCCCUUCGCUUACAAUACUGAGGGCAUUUUCACUCCAGACCAUUUUCCCUCACUGGUCAUUGUUGGACUGACUAAUUUAUGGCUCCAAGUCGCUAAUAAUUUUGAUGCAGUGCCUAAUUAUAGGUGGGUUGGAUGGUGCUGCCUGUUACUAGGGCUGCCAGAUGUUCCCUUUGUAACUCUGUUCUCAGUUGCUCCCAACUUUGUCAAACUUCAACUUUUGGAGCUGGGACAUCGUCUUCGCGCUCUCUUCCAGUACAAGGACUGGCAUCAUCCGAUGAAACCGGGAGGAGCAGGAACAACAGGAGUGGGUCUUCAUGGGGUGCCGAGCAGAGCCUGCGGGCACAGUGUGGGUGGGAGGUGGCACGUCCCCGGGGGCAGCCGAGAUGAGGGCUUGGAGGAGAGAGCACUGGGGGUUACUGAACAAAAUGCUCAGCGCUGGGAGGGUGCUAGUGGAAAAGGCUGUAGGUGCCUGCCUGAGCCUUGCCCGGUGGCAGGGGCUCGUGGUUGGGGUGGGUCACUGCUGGGGAGCCACUGCUGGGCCGGAGGGACCCGUGGUCUGAACCGCUGCUGUUGCAGAACGUGAUAAAGGGCUCAGGAGAUGUUGGGGAAAGAAAUGAGGGGCUCCUGGUUGUACGUACACGGUGACGCAGCUCGGUGUGUCUUGCCUCUGCUCUUCAUCUGCACAAUGAACAUUAGAUCAGACCCUCACCUUCUUGGGUGCAGGUGAAGGCAGUUUGUGGUGUAGGGCCUGGCCUAAAUCAUGCUCAGGAGGACACGAAGAACCCUCUUUCCAAAAACCUUGCUCUAGGGGCAGCACGUUUGCCCUGGAGCAGGGUAACAAGGACCGGGCAGCUGCCUGUACGCAGGCUCCCACCCAGGCUGCAGGCUGGGUGACACAGGAGUCCAGUCCGACCCCCUGCUACAGCAGCUGCUUUGAGGGGAGUUCCUGAGUUUUGGGGAUGACCUAUUGCAAUAAGUCCUCUGUGCACCUUGUUGAGAGCACAUGGUAUUUUAAUAUCAGAUUGCAUUAGUUCUCCCCAAGCACCUGGUGGAACUGCUCAGCCCCACGAGCUGGAGAGCCCCGGGGCAGACCCCGGCCGAGGGCAGCACUAUUGCCCAGGCAGCUCAGCAGCAGAAACACCCCUUUUCCCCCCACAAAACGGUCACGAGAGGCAGAUGAAGACAACAACAGAGCUUGAAGCGAGGCCAGACCGCAGGGCUGGGAGCUGUGCUUCCUGCAGGAGGGCCUGCAGCACCGCUGGGGGGGCGGACGCCGGGCUGCAGCUGGGCGAGAGCACCCCUCCGGCUCCCACGCCAUCGGCUGCAGUGAACCGAAAAAAAAUGAGUUUAACAAACUAAAAAAAAAAAAAAAGAACCUACGUUUCCCUCAGGACCUCGCUCCAGUGGGAGCCGCAAAACUUUUUCUAUAAAUGAAUCUACAUAGAAAUAAAUAAGCUAGAGCUCCUCCCCGAGA